rnacentral:lncRNA from 1 species
UAAAGAGUAGACCGGAGUACUAUACUUUGAAAUUUUGGUGGCCUGCUUCUAGCUUGCUUCUUGGUUAAUCCCCCCACUGACAGAGCUAUGGCCACGUAGUCGUCGUCGAGAGUUUUACUGCUAAAUACCUUGGUUGUUGAUGUAAUGUUAUUCAUUUUUGUCUGUCGCCUUCUCCGCCAGUCUCAGCUAUACGGACAGAUAUCCCAGUUGGAUUGUUGGAUAUAUAUAAAUCAAAUCUGGAUCUUCUAAUUCUUUGUUGAGAAGAUAGCAUUAUAUGGUAUAAAUUACAUGUUGUUUCAGAAUGUGGAUCUUCCCAGAUGCUUCAGGAAGCCAAUCUCUGUCUAGAACACAAGAAACUUCAGAGUGGAGCAAAACUUUAUUCAGUUUACUGAGCAUUGGUGCAGCACAGUAUUUACAUGCUUUCAUCUGCUGCUUCUCUUUUCCUUGCACAAACAGUUCCAUGUUUACAUUCUACAUUGCCCGCAGAGGAAGCCACCUCGCCGCCGAGGUAUCGACACCGGGCUGUCCAUGCCGCUGCCGCCGGAAACCGGCCGCCGUUGGUACCUUGCAGGCUCCGACGGGGCACUUCCUACCCGGCCGCCGUGUUCAGGUUUGCGAUGAUGGCUGCGCUUGUUGAGCCAGGCGACGAUGUCGGCAAAGACCAGCUCCACAUUGUCGUCGGGCUCGCCGGCGGUGAGGCCGUGCCACAUCCCGGGGUAGAGCUUGAUGGUCUUGUCGGCGCUGGCGGCCCGGUCGUAGAGCGCGCGGCUGACCUCCGGGUCGGUGACGGUGUCGGCCUCGCCGUGCAGGAUGAAGAAGGGCAUGCUCACCUCGGCGAGGCUGUCCUCGACGUCCAUGCUGGUCCUGAGCAGCUCCAGCGCCGUCUUGAGCCGCGGCUUGUCCUGGUAGAUGAGCUUGUUCCUCCUGAUGUGCUCGCGCUUGAGGGGGUCCUUGAAGGCGGAGUCGAUCACGUCCUUGGUGGGCACGAUCUUCCAGGUCGGGAUGAGCUCCUCCACCUGCGUCAGCAGGGUCACCACCACCGGAUGCGGCUUCACCUUCUCCGAUAUCUGCACCACCACCAUGCCAUCAAAACAACAACCUACACAUGAGCUAGCAGGCAGAGGCAGGCAUUGCAGUAGAAGUUCAUCAACAUGGCAGGAGAAGUUGAUGGCAGCACCUUGCACAUGGGCGCCACGAGGACGGCGCCGUCCCAGAAGGCCGGGUCCCUCCUGUGCAGCAGCAGGGCGACGGCGCCGCCCAUGGACUCGCCGUACAGGAACCGGCUCUUGCUCCGGUACUCCUCCAUGUCUGCGCACGGAGACAGAAUGCAGCGUCUGGUUCAGUCGUCCGUUUGAUGAUCGACCAAACUGCAGACAUGUUCGUAUGGAAACCAAGCAGAAUUGUAAGGUGAUUUCUACCGCAGAUGGACUUGAAGAAGCGGUCGCAGUCGGCGACGAGGCGGUCAAACUUCUGGAUGUAGCAUCUGGCGCCCAUGGACUUGCCGUGGCCUUCGUAGUCGAUGCCGAACACGCCGUACCCCGCCGCGGCCAACUUGAACCCGCACGCUGUCAGGAAACAGUAACAAUCACUUACAACUCCGUACCCAAUUACAAUCAGUUACAGCUCGCGAGACAACGGGGGUUAGCUGCGUCAUCAUAUAUAUACAGGAUGAAAUACUGUUGCCUACGAUCACGACGAUAGUGAUAUAGAUGAAAUUGACAGAUGGAAAUGGAAGAGAGAAAGGACCACGUCUGCAACCAUAAACAAAAUGCCUGUUUAUCCAAGUGGUCAGAGUCACAACUCACAAGCAAUGGUUCGUCACUUGGAUCGUAGCUGCUGGUCAAAACUGCAAUUUCCUUCCUUCUGAGCAUGGGAUCGAUGGGAGCAUAAUAGGUUUCUGACUUCUGACCAAGUAUUUGUGAUGUAUGCAAACUGUAUCCAACACACCUGUCACACCAUCUUUUAGUGACAAGGUGCAUGAAAGAUGGGCCAACACGCACACUCGUCCAUAUCCAAUCCAAAUAUGAUGACCUUCCUACUGUUUCUUCGUUUGUCAAGUCAAACUAAUUUUGGAUACCCAUGUACCCUGAGUAGAACGGGUUUCCAAAAGAUGGAUUUCUGAAUAAAUGGAACAUACAACAUCUCCUGCUGAGUGCUGACUGACGAUCACCACUCUAUUAUUGCUUUCGGGCACUAUCUUAAAAGAUACUAAGCUCCAUAAAAAUGAAGCUCUAGGGAGCUCUCUCAUUGAAUCGGGGCUGGGCCGGGUGCCAUGUGGGACCUCGUUUUCAUAUGGUGUUUUGCCUUUAAACGCCGCUUUCUUCUGCCAUAAUGGGAGUGCCUUCUGUUGCUCUGCAUCGCCUUCAUUCUGCUGACUGACAAAGUAAACCCUCUAUGCCAAAUGUUGUUGAGGAGGGCCAAUUAACCUUCCGAGGCAACAAACAAUCUAUGUGCGGCACGCCACUAUCACUUCGAAUGUAAAGGUUACAUCGCCUUUUAUGUCGGAAUUAUCAAAUGAACAUAUCACGUGAUGGAACUUGCAAAUUGUGCUGCCAUCAUCUUCCCUCCCUAUCAAAACAGGGGAAAUUAAUAGGAGAAAAACUCCUUCACUACACGAAUGGGAAGAGGCGACACAUAGAGGCAAACACACUAUGCACAACGAGUCAAUCUUUGGCAGAAAAGCUGGGUGGGCAAGGCGCACAACUGCACGCGUUGCUCGGUUUGCAAAACAAUUGGCGGAGAAUUUUCCCGACCUCUGCACCAACUAGAGUUUAAUUGUGAGUAUCGGUAUUUUAGUCUUGUGGGCAAAGAAGUGCACACACUCAUUCGCUAACGUGGCAUAUAAAUAAGGAAUAAAAACCAUGUGUGGGUCAAUUGGUUCAUUGAAAUCAAACCGGGUGGAUAGGCCGCACAACCAUAGACCCAACCACUGACCUUUGGUUUGUUUGAAUCAAACUCUCCAAGCGAAACGCUACCAAAAGUGGGCUGGUUAGUUAACCUUCUACGGCAACCAACAAUCUUGAAUGCAGCUCACCAAUAUCACUCACGAAUAUAAGGUUGCAAUCACCUUUUAUGCUGGAAUUAUCAAACGAAUAUGUCGCGUGGUGGAACCUUUAGGAGGGUGUUGCCAUCAUCGUCUUCUCUCUUUAUCAAAAGCAGCUCUCACUCGCAGCCGAACAAAAGGAUCCCACCAAUACAAGUGAGAAGAGUGUUAUUAACUGCCACCUAUAUUGUGUUUAACUAUCUCUCUGUGAAAAGAUCAAAUGAGAGAAAGAAUAGAUGGUGAUGCGGUUCUUUGUGGGUGGUAAGUAAUUGAUCUGAAUCCGAGACUACCCUACAAUGAGCAAAAUACUUCUUCCAUAUGUCAACUCCUUUUCUGUAGUAGCAACGUUUUCAAGACGAUUUUCAGGCAUGUACCCUCGACAAUUAGUUCUGAAAUUACGGAUAUACUGGAUCGAAUAAGACCAUUGUCAGUAUAUAUAGCAGCAUCUGCUGCUGAAAGCUGUCCAAUUCAUGAAGUCACGGUAUCUAUCACCAGCCAGUAGUUGUAGUUCCCUAUCAGCAUCUGCAACCUAUUCCUUAAAGUACACGGCAAUUAAUGGUCUCUGGCCACUAAUUUGCUUACAUAAAAUUCUCCUCUACCAUCUUUCCCUAAACUGCAAUGCAAUGUGAUGUUUUUGGAGAAAACACAAAGCUUCCAUUUCGAUCCAUUUAUAUAGAGAGAAAUAUUUAAAAUUCUUUUACGAUCAGCAACGCUUGAUGCGUCGAAAGAACUUGUGAUACUAUGCGACUCACAGGGAUCUUUCUAUGUUAAGGUGUACUUUAAUGAUCGAAACGCUCUUAUAUUUCUUCACGGAGGGAGUAGCUGUUAAAUCUUACUGGAGGACAUGAUCAAAUUAGGCCAGAGAAUGCUCCUGGCAUCACCAAAAAGGAAAUAAGAAGGCUCGUAGCCUCCCAUGCUACUCCCAUGCUCCUAUUAACAACCAGGCUGAGGCUGACGCAUGCAUCUAGAUUCUAGAAGGAUCAAUGGCGCUAACAUAUAUGAAGCCUAGAUCCGCAGUGCAUGCAUGUGAAGUCAUGGAUGAUGUAAGAACAAAGAUACAUGAAUUCAAUAUAUAUAGGCCCAUAAAGAUACGACCGCACACCGAAAAUAAUUCGUGAAACAUUAUCUCUUGUAUUAGAAGGGCUUCCAAUUCCAUACCCCUCAUCAUGUUUCUGAAUUUUCUCUGAAACUGUCUCUAAAAACAAUAGAGGAAAUAAACGAGAUUGGUAGCAAGAAGCACGAAGAUUAAGCAGCAUUAGUACCUCUCAUGAAGACGCUGCAUUCCAUGCCAUAUCCUGAAGCAAAUGAACGCACAUACAAGAAAAAAGAGAGGAGAGAGUCAAUGUGGUAUGAUAUGAUUGAUGAAGCCACCAGAAUUAGGCAUAGCUACUGUUGAAGUUAGAAAUGCGCAAAGCUUCGGCAGCGGUCGAUUCGCAAAUUAAGCAAACGAGCAGUACGUACCAUGGCAAAGGAAGACGAGCGCCUUGGGCGAGGAAGAAGCGGGCAGCCAGCCGCAUGUGAAGAGCUGCACCCCCCUCGGAUUCCUCACGUAUUCCUGCAGGAUCAGCCGAGAAACCAUCAAACGCAUCAUGAUGAACAUGAUCAAGAUCCAACCACUCGCGCAUGCACCGUCGCUGGCCGUGCGUGCUUGCAACCGAGAGAUCAAGCAUGUCGGCAUGCAUGUGCAGAUGGAGUUGCUUCUGCUCACCUCAUGGUAUUGCACGUCCAUCUUCCUGGUUAUCUGAUCCCUUGAGCGCUCAGGAACUAAGCGGGGAUCAAAUUAACGCGAGUGUUGCGAUCGCGGGGACUCGAUUGAAGAAGCAGCAGUAGAUGGGCAGACGGGGAGGGAAAGGGGGCUAGAGAGAGAUAAGAGGAGCUUUGGUCAGAUGAGGGGAGUGGGAGGAGGAGAGGGAGGGGAGAAGGCGGCAGGCGUGUCGAGGAGGGGGAACACGUGCCCAGCAAACGUCUGCAUUUCUGCAUUGGAAGUGGGAAGGAAGGUGGAGGUUGGUGACCCGGAUUCUCUGCGGCCCGGAGCCGUCUGGGGGAACAGCCCGUAAAUGGUUGUCGUGGUGGACUGGUCAAGGUCAGGGGAUUCUGAUAACUAGAAAAACAUACGGGGUCACAUUAAUAUUAAUAUUCUCAUACAUAUCAAGUUACAUUGGCAACCUUUUUUACCAUUAAAUCCUCACUCACAUUCUCUUCCUCACUCUCCCCCCUCUCUCUAACACACACACACACAUAUUCAUUUUAUUGGGUACGGGACCAUAAUCCAUCUAUUUCACACACACACGUUAGUGCAUAACAAUAUGAAUUAUGUGUAUUAUAUUUGUCACCACAACUGAGGGAAUUAAAUCGGCCAGCCACAGCUUCAAGAAUACGCGGAGGAGGUGGCCCGGGUCGGCGUCGACGCCAUCCGGCGCGGGCCACGGGCCCGCUUCCAAGUGCGUCUGCACGCCGGCCACUCACGCCGGGUCCUUCAAGUGCCGCUUCGACCGCACCAACUCCCAGGGUCACGGCCACGGCCAGGGAAGCCGCCCUUCUUCGCCCCCUUCACCGGUCACGGCACCCGGCCUCGCCGUCCUCGUCCUCCGGCACCGUCGCGACCCAGUGACGCAGCCCAAGCAUCGGUCUCGAGAAUCAAGAACGCUCGACAACGGAGAGGGAAGGGAAGAUCAUAUGCAUGUCAUAAGAAAGGGAGUUUAUUUAGUGCUCCCUCUAUGUAUUGUUUCUUUUGUUUGGAGGUUGAUUACCGUCCGUGAGUUAAGAUAAGGUUAAUGUGAUUGAGCGAUUUUUCUGAAAAUCAAAUAUUUGCUUUCUAAUUAAUGUGAUUGAGUGAUUUAAGGUAAGGUUAAUUAAUUUAGAUUUUAUUUUUAGAGAUUGUUCGUGAUUGAUUCUACAUUACUAAAUAACUCGCGUCAGUAUGAAAAGUUCUGAUCUAUUCAGAUAUUUUUCGUUGUGUGAGAGGGUGACGCGAAGAUAAACCAAUGAAAUGGAGGGAGGGAAAAAAAUCCAGCGAAGGUGGGAGGAGGUACCAAAAAAAAA